GGUUAAGCGACUAAGCGUACACGGUGGAUGCCCUGGCAGUCAGAGGCGAUGAAGGACGUGCUAAUCUGCGAAAAGCGUCGGUAAGGUGAUAUGAACCGUUAUAACCGGCGAUGUCCGAAUGGGGAAACCCAGUGCAAUUCGUUGCACUAUCGUUAACUGAAUACAUAGGUUAACGAGGCGAACCGGGGGAACUGAAACAUCUAAGUACCCCGAGGAAAAGAAAUCAACCGAGAUUCCCCCAGUAGCGGCGAGCGAACGGGGAGCAGCCCAGAGUCUGAAUCAGCUUGUGUGUUAGUGGAACGGUCUGGAAAGUCCGACGGUACAGGGUGAUAGUCCCGUACACCAAAAUGCACAGGUUGUGAACUCGAAGAGUAGGGCGGGACACGUGGUAUCCUGUCUGAAUAUGGGGGGACCAUCCUCCAAGGCUAAAUACUCCUGACUGACCGAUAGUGAACCAGUACCGUGAGGGAAAGGCGAAAAGAACCCCGGCGAGGGGAGUGAAAAAGAACCUGAAACCGUGUACGUACAAGCAGUGGGAGCACCUUCGGGUGUGACUGCGUACCUUUUGUAUAAUGGGUCAGCGACUUAUAUUCUGUAGCAAGGUUAACCGUAUAGGGGAGCCGCAGGGAAACCGAGUCUUAACUGGGCGUUAAGUUGCAGGGUAUAGACCCGAAACCCGGUGAUCUAGCCAUGGGCAGGUUGAAGGUUGGGUAACACUAACUGGAGGACCGAACCGACUAAUGUUGAAAAAUUAGCGGAUGACUUGUGGCUGGGGGUGAAAGGCCAAUCAAACCGGGAGAUAGCUGGUUCUCCCCGAAAGCUAUUUAGGUAGCGCCUCGUGAAUUCAUCUUCGGGGGUAGAGCACUGUUUCGGCUAGGGGGUCAUCCCGACUUACCAACCCGAUGCAAACUACGAAUACCGAAGAAUGUUAUCACGGGAGACACACGGCGGGUGCUAACGUCCGUCGUGAAGAGGGAAACAACCCAGACCGCCAGCUAAGGUCCCAAAGUCAUGGUUAAGUGGGAAACGAUGUGGGAAGGCACAGACAGCCAGGAUGUUGGCUUAGAAGCAGCCAUCAUUUAAAGAAAGCGUAAUAGCUCACUGGUCGAGUCGGCCUGCGCGGAAGAUGUAACGGGGCUAAACCAUGCACCGAAGCUGCGGCAGCGACACUAUGUGUUGUUGGGUAGGGGAGCGUUCUGUAAGCCUGCGAAGGUGUGCUGUGAGGCAUGCUGGAGGUAUCAGAAGUGCGAAUGCUGACAUAAGUAACGAUAAAGCGGGUGAAAAGCCCGCUCGCCGGAAGACCAAGGGUUCCUGUCCAACGUUAAUCGGGGCAGGGUGAGUCGACCCCUAAGGCGAGGCCGAAAGGCGUAGUCGAUGGGAAACAGGUUAAUAUUCCUGUACUUGGUGUUACUGCGAAGGGGGGACGGAGAAGGCUAUGUUAGCCGGGCGACGGUUGUCCCGGUUUAAGCAUGUAGGCUGGUUAUCCAGGCAAAUCCGGAUAAUCAAGGCUGAGGUGUGAUGACGAGGCACUACGGUGCUGAAGUAACAAAUGCCCUGCUUCCAGGAAAAGCCUCUAAGCAUCAGGUAACAUCAAAUCGUACCCCAAACCGACACAGGUGGUCAGGUAGAGAAUACCAAGGCGCUUGAGAGAACUCGGGUGAAGGAACUAGGCAAAAUGGUGCCGUAACUUCGGGAGAAGGCACGCUGGUGUGUAGGUGAAGUCCCUGCGGAUGGAGCUGAGACCAGUCGAAGAUACCAGCUGGCUGCAACUGUUUAUUAAAAACACAGCACUGUGCAAACACGAAAGUGGACGUAUACGGUGUGACGCCUGCCCGGUGCCGGAAGGUUAAUUGAUGGGGUUAUCCGUAAGGAGAAGCUCUUGAUCGAAGCCCCGGUAAACGGCGGCCGUAACUAUAACGGUCCUAAGGUAGCGAAAUUCCUUGUCGGGUAAGUUCCGACCUGCACGAAUGGCGUAAUGAUGGCCAGGCUGUCUCCACCCGAGACUCAGUGAAAUUGAACUCGCUGUGAAGAUGCAGUGUACCCGCGGCAAGACGGAAAGACCCCGUGAACCUUUACUAUAGCUUGACACUGAACAUUGAGCCUUGAUGUGUAGGAUAGGUGGGAGGCUUUGAAGCGUGGACGCCAGUCUGCGUGGAGCCAACCUUGAAAUACCACCCUUUAAUGUUUGAUGUUCUAACGUUGGCCCCUUACCGGGGUUGCGGACAGUGUCUGGUGGGUAGUUUGACUGGGGCGGUCUCCUCCCAAAGCGUAACGGAGGAGCACGAAGGUUAGCUAAUCCUGGUCGGACAUCAGGAGGUUAGUGCAAUGGCAUAAGCUAGCUUGACUGCGAGCGUGACGGCGCGAGCAGGUGCGAAAGCAGGUCAUAGUGAUCCGGUGGUUCUGAAUGGAAGGGCCAUCGCUCAACGGAUAAAAGGUACUCCGGGGAUAACAGGCUGAUACCGCCCAAGAGUUCAUAUCGACGGCGGUGUUUGGCACCUCGAUGUCGGCUCAUCACAUCCUGGGGCUGAAGUAGGUCCCAAGGGUAUGGCUGUUCGCCAUUUAAAGUGGUACGCGAGCUGGGUUUAGAACGUCGUGAGACAGUUCGGUCCCUAUCUGCCGUGGGCGCUGGAGAAUUGAGGGGGGCUGCUCCUAGUACGAGAGGACCGGAGUGGACGCAUCACUGGUGUUCGGGUUGUCAUGCCAAUGGCACUGCCCGGUAGCUAAAUGCGGAAGAGAUAAGUGCUGAAAGCAUCUAAGCACGAAACUUGCCCCGAGAUGAGUUCUCCCUGAGACUAUAAGUCUCCUGAAGGAACGUUAAAGACGAUGACGUUGAUAGGCCGGGUGUGUAAGCGCAGCGAUGCGUUGAGCUAACCGGUACUAAUGAACCGUGAGGCUUAACCUU
rnacentral:rRNA from 1 species